AGGGAGAUGUUGAAAGACGAGGGAACACGACACACCCCCUUGCCUUUACUCUGCUACAGCGUGCUACUGCAAGCAUGACAGAUCUGUGAAAAUAUAGAGUUAGAGAGAGAGAGAGAUAGAGAGAGAGAGAGAGAUAGAGAGGAAGAGGGAUCGAGGGAAAGAGGGAUCGAGAGGAGAGAACACGUGGAGUGAAAGAGGAGUACUGAGAAAAGUAGGAAGAAUAUAUACACCAUCAAGACUAGAAGAAAUGAAAUAAAGGAAGUCUGUCCCUGCCUCUUCUCCAUCUCUUUCUCUACCCCAGGAUUAGGACUAUUUGAUCAUUGCCAUGGCCCACAACCAAACCAUCCCCCAAAUCAUCCCUCCAUCCCUCACAAAACCCCCCUUGUCCCUUUCUCCGUUCUCCUCCACUACGCCCCCCUCCCUGUUCCUUUCAGCCUCCAACCACGUCCUUAACACCACCAUGUCUGUUUUCGUGGCGAACCAAAGCAUUGUGGGUAAUACCACCUCCACAACCGUAGGGGCACUCAUCCUGGGUCUGGUGUUUCUCCUUGGCGUCCCCGGCAAUCUCUUUAUCAUCUGGAGUAUCCUGGCACGCGCCCGCCGUCGCUCUGUCACCACCCUCCUCAUCCUCAAUCUGGCAGUGGCCGACGGCUCGCUCAUGGCGCUCACGCCGUUCUUCAUCGUGUACCUUGUGAAGAAGACAUGGAUUUUUGGCGAUAUCAUGUGCAAGAUACUCUUCUACCUGUGCCUGGCCAAUAUGUACGCCUCCAUCCAACUGAUCAUGCUGAUGAGCCUGCACAGGCUGGUGGCCGUGGUGUGGCCGCGGCGUGUUGCUGCCCUCGCUGGCCGGAAGGCAGUACUGCGGGGGGUGCUGGUACUGUGGAUCCUGGUGCUGGUCUCAUCCAUCCCCGCGUUGCUGUUCAGGCACAAACUGACGGCCACGUACCCCAACGGGAGGAGCCGUAUGGUGUGUGAGUCAUUUCACAAGCAGCAGAGUCAAGUGAGUGACACUUACUUCCUUAUUUACCAACUGAAUUCAUUCCUUACUUUGCUAAUUAUCUUCACUCCUGGAGUGACUGACAGGGGAGGGGGAAAGAGCAACCAAUCAAACCGUGAAUGUAUUUCAGGUGAGGGAACAAAAAAGUACAGACUUUACAUGAGAGCUUUCUAUCACCGAAGUUACCUGUUUAUUCACAUUCUUAUCUGUAGUCAGAUCAUCCAUAAAAACAUUGCAAGGUAUGGAGUUUACAGUACAUUGAUUUUGUAUACAGUCAGGCCCAUAAAUAUUUGGACAUUUACCAAGUUGUUAUUAUUUUAGCUGUCUACCACAGCAUAUUGGAGUUGAAGUUAAAUAAUUAAUAGGAGAGGGAAGGUCCGACAUUCAGCUUUAAUUUGACGGUAUUUACAUCCAAAUUGGGUGAAUGGUGUAGGAAUUACAACACUUUUUACAUGUGGUCUGACCCUUUUUAAGAGAGCAAAAUUAAUUGGACAAUUCGCUGCUCAGCUUAUCCAAGGCCAGCUGUGUGUUAUUCCCUCAUUAGUUAAUGUACAAGUAAGCAUAUGAAAGGCAUAGAGUUGAUUUCAAGUGCGGCACUUGAGUUUGGAAUCUGUUGCUGUUAACCCUCAAUAGGAAGUCGAAAGAACUGUCACUGCCAGUGAAGCAAGCCAUCAUUAGGUUGAAACAUCAGAGAGAUAUCAGAAAUAUUAGGUGUGGAACAUCAGAGAGAUAUCAGAAACAUUAGGUUGAAACAUCAGAGAGAUAUCAGAAACAUUAGGUUGAAACAUCAGAGAGAUAUCAGAAACAUUAGGUGUGGAACAUCAGAGAGAUAUCAGAAACAUUAGGUUGAAACAUCAGAGAGAUAUCAGAAACAUUAGGUGUGGAACAUCAGAGAGAUAUCAGAAACAUUAGGUUGAAACAUCAGAGAGAUAUCAGAAACAUUAGGUUGAAACAUCAGAGAGAUAUCAGAAACAUUAGGUUGAAACAUCAGAGAGAUAUCAGAAACAUUAGGUGUGGAACAUCAGAGAGAUAUCAGAAACAUUAGGUUGAAACAUCAGAGAGAUAUCAGAAACAUUAGGUGUGGAACAUCAGAGAGAUAUCAGAAACAUUAGGUUGAAACAUCAGAGAGAUAUCAGAAACAUUAGGUUGAAACAUCAGAGAGAUAUCAGAAACAUUAGGUGUGGAACAUCAGAGAGAUAUCAGAAACAUUAGGUUGAAACAUCAGAGAGAUAUCAGAAACAUUAGGUUGAAACAUCAGAGAGAUAUCAGAAACAUUAGGUGUGGAACAUCAGAGAGAUAUCAGAAACAUUAGGUGUGGAACAUCAGAGAGAUAUCAGAAACAUUAGGUUGAAACAUCAGAGAGAUAUCAGAAACAUUAGGUGUGGAACAUCAGAGAGAUAUCAGAAACAUUAGGUUGAAACAUCAGAGAGAUAUCAGAAACAUUAGGUUGAAACAUCAGAGAGAUAUCAGAAACAUUAGGUGUGGAACAUCAGAGAGAUAUCAGAAACAUUAGGUGUGGAACAUCAGAGAGAUAUCAGAAACAUUAGGUUGAAACAUCAGAGAGAUAUCAGAAACAUUAGGUUGAAACAUCAGAGAGAUAUCAGAAACAUUAGGUGUGGAACAUCAGAGAGAUAUCAGAAACAUUAGGUGUGGAACAUCAGAGAGAUAUCAGAAACAUUAGGUGUGGAACAUCAGAGAGAUAUCAGAAACAUUAGGUUGAAACAUCAGAGAGAUAUCAGAAACAUUAGGUUGAAACAUCAGAGAGAUAUCAGAAACAUUAGGUGUGGAACAUCAGAGAGAUAUCAGAAACAUUAGGUUGAAACAUCAGAGAGAUAUCAGAAACAUUAGGUUGAAACAUCAGAGAGAUAUCAGAA